ACGCGUGAGGAACCUGCCUUGGAGAGGGGGAGUAACACUCCGAAAGGAGUGCUAAUACCGCAUGAUGCAGUUGGGUCGCAUGGCUCUGACUGCCAAAGAUUUAUCGCUCUGAGAUGGCCUCGCGUCUGAUUAGCUAGUAGGCGGGGUAACGGCCCACCUAGGCGACGAUCAGUAGCCGGACUGAGAGGUUGACCGGCCACAUUGGGACUGAGACACGGCCCAGACUCCUACGGGAGGCAGCAUG
rnacentral:rRNA from 1 species